rnacentral:lncRNA from 1 species
ACAGUUUUUUGACUUGAAAAAGCUUAAUGGAAUAGUAAGUUAGGAUGUCAAGCCUAAUGAUUGAAAAUGGAAUUCUUAUCCUCGUAGAUUAGAUGCUUAAUUGGCGUAGUCAUAACUAGCUCAAUGGAUUUCUUCUUUGUACUCGAUCUACAAUUUUUUUUGGACCUUUCUCGUAUGUAGUAUGUGAAGUUCAGAUCACAUCUACAACUUCUCCAUGUGAGAUGUGAACUUUCUGUAUCAUUUUCUUUUGUCUAAUUCCAAUUAGCUUUCAGAUUUCAGAAGAUGAAAGAAGAUCUUAUGAGUGGUAGAAAUCAGUACUGAGCAACAGCGUAAAGCUAGAGUAGGAAAAGGAAUAUGUGAUUGAGAUGAAGUUAGAGUCAUUUCUUUAACUGUUUUUUUUGCAGUCAUUCCAUGUGUAAUUUUUUCUGUCUGUUCUUGGGAGGAGAUGCAAAUGGAGUGAGAAGGGGCUACUUGGGUUUCUAUACUAAAGUUAACUGACUUGGUUUAAUUUUCUUUCACUUAGUAGUAAAGAGUAAAGACACGACUAUCCAUUUAUCUCGUGCCUUCCUUUUAGUGAUGCAGUGCCAACAGGUCCGGGCCACAUUGAAACAGUUUUUUGACUUGAAAAAGCUUAAUGGAAUAGUAAGUUAGGAUGUCAAGCCUAAUGAUUGAAAAUGGAAUUCUUAUCCUCGUAGAUUAGAUGCUUAAUUGGCGCAGUCAUAACUAGCUCAAUGGAUUUCUUCUUUGUACUCGAUCUACAAUUUUUUUUGGACCUUUCUCGUAUGUAGUAUGUGAAGUUCAGAUCACAUCUACAACUUCUCCAUGUGAGAUGUGAACUUUCUGUAUCAUUUUCUUUUGUCUAAUUCCAAUUAGCUUUCAGAUUUCAGAAGAUGAAAGAAGAUCUUAUGAGUGGUAGAAAUCAGUACUGAGCAGCAGCGUAAAGCUAGAGUAGGAAAAGGAAUAUGUGAUUGAGAUAAAGUUAGAGUCAUUUCUUUAACUGUUUUUUUUGCAGUCAUUCCAUGUGUAAUUUUUUCUUUUCCUGUUGCAAUGAUCUUUCAGAUUUAAUUGCCUUGAUUUCAACCAAUGCUUUCUGGAAAUGACUAAAAAGCUAAGUAUUGUUUCCUGUGCAGUCAAAUGCACAAUUUUUAGUCUUCUCCCUGCUCCUCAUGUCUGCCUUAUAUCUUUCUGGAUGUUCAGGAAC